GAGCAGCAGUUCCUCCCGAGCCAUCGACACAUCUAUCUACGACCCCAUCCCGUGCUCCCAGGCGAAAUGGCGACAACAGCGCCCGUUGUACGGCACCGCUGCGGGGAGUCGCCGGAGGCCGGGAUCCAGUGCGCGGUGGUGGAUUCGUUUCGCGCCCAAAGUUCGCGCCUUCCUCUCCCGCGAAAAUCCCUUCCGCGCUCUCCCUCAAAUACUCCCUCUGCGUCCUCCCCAUCCAACCCUAGCUUAUGUUCCGGCCACCAUGUCGCGGCAGGAACGGGCGGCGGCGGCGGCAACGCAAAAUCUGCUGAAGGUGGAUGCGGCUCGGGUGCGCAAGGCAGCCGCGACACAAUCGCGGAAGGAUGCGGCGGCGCCGAUGCGGAAGGCCCCGAGGCGAGUUCGGGAUGGGGCGGCGCCUGUGCCGGAGCAGAGGACUUCGGGCGUAGCGGCGCAUGUGCCGGAGCAGAGGAUUUCGAGCGGAGCGGCGCAUGUGGGUGCAUAUGGUGCCGGCAGCUUCUUCAACGGGGGCAUCGGCGGCUUCUUUGGCAACAGUGGACAGAGCCCCAUUCAGACAUGGGUGUCUCAGUCUUCGGAUCCUUCAACAUGGGACAAAAUGCAACACCUCCUGGAGGUUUUACAAACUUUAUCCAGCCUACUUUGUCUAAGAAUUUUAACUUUGUUGGAGAACAAUCUCAAUUUGCCCCAUUCAAGCCGCCGCGGACUUUGGAAGAUAUGCCAUCAGAUAUACCAUCAAAGGGCAAUAAUGCAUAUGUUAAUGUUGACAGCAGUGAUGAGGCACCUAGGACUGAGAAGCAAAUCUUGUGGACUCAAGAAGAUGUCAGGAUGAUAAGCUCUUAGCUGCUCAACUCAACAGACUCCACCAUCGGUGCUGAUAGGAAGAAUGACCAAUAUUGGUCUGAUGUCGAGGCAACAUACAAUGAAACUACACCAAGUCAUAGGCGCAGAAAUGCCAAGCAAAUCAAGGACCGUUUUCCUAAGGUAAAUAAGCGGACUGACCUUUUCCAUAGUGCUUGGUUGAAGGCUAGAAUGAUUUAUACAAGUGGCUAUAAUGAUCAAAUGUGGAUUGAGAAGGCCCAUGUAUUCUAUAAAAAAGAUAAUGAGAGACUCAACCAAGGUCUUUUUGUGUUGAUGGAAAAAACUGAAGCAAAGUGGAUUACAUACAACAAUGGGCUGAGAGCAACAAGGAAAAGAAAGGGUUCAGGCAAGGAAAAUGAAGGAGAGGAUAGCAGGGCUAUAGAUGUAGAUGAACUUGAGGAACAACCAAGAUCAAUGGGCCGAAAAAAGCUAAAAAACUAAAAUAUGCUCAGAGUAAGGAGGGGGGCCAUAUAGACCUUUAAGAGCUGGAUAAAUUUGGUAAAAUCUAAUGUGAAGAGCAUGCAAAUAGGCUCAAAGUACUGGAAGUGCAGGAAAAGUUAUCAUCUGAGAAGAUCGAACAAGCCAAUCUUGCCCAUCUUGCAGCAAAGGAACAAAAGGAGACAGCACAGAUGCAAAGUGAGGCAAAAAAGUAUGAACUAGAGUGUUUGCAGGCUCAUCUAUUGCUGCCGACUGGAGACUGGACAUGUCUUUUUUCUACCAACUGAGCUACCAUAUGUUGCAGUCAAGUGUCAUCUUUAUUUUCUAUUCAGUGUCAUUUCCCUUGUAUCAAGUGUGGACUGAAAAUUAAAUAGUGAAAUGACUGCAUGUGUUCAUGUGUGGUGGCUAUUUACAUUCAUGUCUGGUGACUAUUGAAAAUUGUGAGUGUGAACUGAAGUUUGCUGUGAAUUGAUGCCUGCGUGUAUGUGUGAACUGAUGCAUGUGUAUAUGUGUGAACUGAAUGGCAUGCAUGUUUGUAUGAUCCGAAGGGCUGUGCUGUCCAUGCUCUCAUGUAUGCAACAAAGUGGUUAUAAA